rnacentral:rRNA from 1 species
AGAGUUUGAUCCUGGCUCAGGACGAACGCUGGCGGCGUGCUUGAUACAUGCAAGUCGAACGGACUUUUCGAGGGAGCUUGCUUUCUUGGAAAGUUAGUGGCGGACGGGUGAGUAACGCGUGGGUAAUCUGCCCUAAGGUCCGGGACAACAGUUCGAAAGGACUGCUAAGACCGGAUGAUCUUGCGAGGAGACAUCUUUUUGCAAGCAAAGGUUACACCUUAGGAUGAGCCCGCGUCCCAUUAGCUAGUUGGUGAGGUAACGGCCCACCAAGGCGACGAUGGGUAGCCGGACUGAGAGGUUGGCCGGCCACACUGGGACUGAGACACGGCCCAGACUCCUACGGGAGGCAGCAGUAGGGAAUUUUCGUCAAUGGGGGAAACCCUGAACGAGCGACGCCGCGUGAGGGAUGAAGGCCUUCGGGUUGUAAACCUCUGUCUAGAGGGACGAUAAUGACGGUACCUCUGGAGGAAGCCACGGCUAACUACGUGCCAGCAGCCGCGGUAAGACGUAGGUGGCAAGCGUUGUCCGGAAUUAUUGGGCGUAAAGGGCGUGUAGGCGGCCAUUCAAGUCAGGCGUGAAACCCCUGGGCUUAACCUAGGGACUGCGUUUGAAACUGGAUGGCUUGAGGACAGGAGAGGAAAGCGGAAUUCCCAGUGUAGCGGUGAAAUGCGUAGAUAUUGGGAGGAACACCAGUGGCGAAGGCGGCUUUCUGGACUGUCCCUGACGCUGAGGCGCGAAAGCCAGGGGAGCGAACGGGAUUAGAUACCCCGGUAGUCCUGGCUGUAAACGAUGGGUACUAG